rnacentral:sRNA from 1 species
GGGGUGAUAAAGAAAUUGAAAUGCAGUUAGUUUUGAGAAUGGUAGUUGGCUUUUGCAAAUUUGUUUUCAGGUGAUCAUUAUAAAGUCCCCCCACCCGCACCAAUCACAUCCACUGUGAUGUGGAGAAAGGGCUCAUGGCACUGCACUGGGGCACCGCGUUGGGGUCACGCCUGCCGCUCACGGCCUGCCAUGUCCGUGUUGCAGAGGAGGAGACCCACCCAGUGGACUUGAGCUCGCUCUCCAGUAAGCUGCUCCCAGGCUUCACCACGCUGGGCUUCAAAGACGAGAGAAGAAACAAAGUCACCUUUCUCUCCAGUGCCACUACUGCGCUUUCGAUGCGGAAUAAUUCAGUAUUUGGUGACUUGAAGUCGGACGAGAUGGAGCUGCUCUAUGUAGCCUACGGAGAUGAGACAGGUGUGUAGUGUGCGCUGAGAUGGACACCCGCUCCGGGAGCCAGUGUUCCGUCACCCCAGAAGCCAUACUCAACAAUGAACAGCUGGUCUUGCCGCCCCGCAUCUCUAGAGUGAACGGCUGGUCGUUACCCUUGCACUACUUCCAGGUGGUGACUUGGGCUGUCUUCGUGGGCCUUUCCUCGGCCACCUUCGGGAUCUUCAUUCCCCUCCUGCCUCAUGUGUGGAAAUACAUCGCCUACGUGGUAUCCUCUUCAUCGUGGCAUGGUCUAAGCGGGAGGGGUUCCUGGAGAACCCUGCGAUGGACCUGGCUGUGGGGUCUGGGCCAUGGCUGC